rnacentral:ribozyme from 13 species
AAAGUGAUACAAUUGCAGACAAUCAGAGGAACAACAAGACCCGUUUCUUGAAAGAGUUCUUCCAAUGAUCUUCCAUACACUCCUUUUCCCUUUUCUUUCUUCCCUUUCUCAGUCAUCUCCCCAAAAACAAACUUGUGAGUGUUUUGAAAAACAAAAAAAAAAAAUAAAA